CCUACGGGAGGCAGCAGUGGGGAAUAUUGCGCAAUGGGCGAAAGCCUGACGCAGCGACGCCGCGUGAGGGAUGAAGGUCUUCGGAUCGUAAACCUCUGUCAGCAGGGAAGAAAGGUCACUGUGCUAAUCAGCAGUGAAUUGACGGUACCUGCACAGGAAGCGCCGGAUAACUCCGUGCCAGAAGCCGCGGUAAUACGGAGGGUGGAAGCGUUAAUCGGAAUUACUGGGCGUAAAGCGCUCGUAGGCGGUAUGUCAAGUCAAGGGUGAAAUCUCCGCGCUCAACGUGGGAACUGCCUUUGAAACUGGUAAACUGGAGUGUGUGAGAGGAUAGUGGAAUUCCAGGUGUAGGAGUGAAAUCCGUAGAUAUCUGGAGGAACAUCAGUGGCGAAGGCGACUAUCUGGCACAUAACUGACGCUGAGGAGCGAAAGCGUGGGUAGCAAACAGGAUUAGAUACCCCUGUAGUC
rnacentral:rRNA from 1 species